CGCGUGGAUAUCUGCCUUUUGGUUCGGAAUAACCCCGGGAAACUGGGGCUAAUACCGGAUGGUUCCUUCGGGAUAAAGAUUUAUCGCCAAAAGAUGAGUCCGCGUACGAUUAGCUAGUUGGUGAGGUAAUGGCUCACCAAGGCGACGAUCGUUAGCUGGUCUGAGAGGACGAUCAGCCACACUGGGACUGAGACACGGCCCAGACUCCUACGGGAGGCAGCAGUGGGGAAUAUUGGACAAUGGGGGCAACCCUGAUCCAGCCAUGCCGCGUGAGUGAUGAAGGCCUUCGGGUUGUAAAGCCCUUUUGGCGGGGACGAUGAUGACGGUACCCGCAGAAUAAGCCCCGGCUAACUUCGUG
rnacentral:rRNA from 1 species